UACGAAGGGGGCUAGCGUUGCUCGGAAUCACUGGGCGUAAAGCGCACGUAGGCGGCUUUCUAAGUCAGGGGUGAAAUCCUGGAGCUCAACUCCAGAACUGCCUUUGAUACUGGAGAGCUUGAGUCCGGGAGAGGUGAGUGGAACUCCGAGUGUAGAGGUGAAAUUCGUAGAUAUUCGGAAGAACGCCAGUGGCGAAGGCGGCUCACUGGCCCGGUACUGACGCUGAUGUGCGAAAGCGUGGGGAGCAAACAGG
rnacentral:rRNA from 1 species